UUCGUAGGUGGCUUGCUAAGUCAGACGUGAAAUCCCUCAGCUUAACUGGGGAACUGCGUCUGAGACUGGCGAGCUUGAGUGCAGGAGAGGAACGCGGAAUUCCAGGUGUAGCGGUGAAAUGCGUAGAUAUCUGGAGGAACACCGGUGGCGAAGGCGGCGUUCUGGACUGCAACUGACACUGAGGAACAAGCCAGGGAGCAAACG
rnacentral:rRNA from 1 species